GACCGCUCCAGUGGCCUAGUGGUUAGAGCGCCCGCAUCGGAUGCUGGAGGUUGAAGGUUCGAACCCCGACUGAGUCA